rnacentral:rRNA from 1 species
CACUCCUACGGGAGGCAGCAGUGGGGAAUAUUGGACAAUGGGCGCAAGCCUGAUCCAGCCAUGCCGCGUGAGUGAUGAAGGCCCUAGGGUUGUAAAGCUCUUUCACCGGUGAAGAUAAUGACGGUAACCGGAGAAGAAGCCCCGGCUAACUUCGUGCCAGCAGCCGCGGUAAUACGAAGGGGGCUAGCGUUGUUCGGAUUUACUGGGCGUAAAGCGCACGUAGGCGGACUAUUAAGUCAGGGGUGAAAUCCCGGGGCUCAACCCCGGAACUGCCUUUGAUACUGGUAGUCUUGAGUUCGAGAGAGGUGAGUGGAAUUCCGAGUGUAGAGGUGAAAUUCGUAGAUAUUCGGAGGAACACCAGUGGCGAAGGCGGCUCACUGGCUCGAUACUGACGCUGAGGUGCGAAAGCGUGGGGAGCAAACAGGAUUAGAUACCCCAGUAGUCCCAUGA